rnacentral:rRNA from 1 species
AACGCUAGCUACAGGCUUAACACAUGCAAGUCGAGGGGCAGCAUGGUCUUAGCUUGCUAAGGCCGAUGGCGACCGGCGCACGGGUGAGUAACGCGUAUCCAACCUGCCUUACACUCUUGGACAGCCUUCUGAAAGGGAGAUUAAUACAAGAUGUUAUCAUGAGUAAGCAUUUUCGCAUGAUUAAAGGUUUACCGGUGUAAGAUGGGGAUGCGUUCCAUUAGAUAGUAGGCGGGGUAACGGCCCACCUAGUCUUCGAUGGAUAGGGGAACUGAGAGGUUGGUCUCCCACACUGGUACUGAGACACGGACCAGACUCCUACGGGAGGCAGCAGUGAGGAAUAUUGGUCAAUGGGCGGGAGCCUGAACCAGCCAAGUCGCGUGAAGGAAGAAGGAUCUAUGGUUCGUAAACUUCUUUUGCAGGGGAAUAAAGUGCAGGACGUGUCCUGUUUUGUAUGUACCCUGAGAAUAAGGAUCGGCUAACUCCGCGCCAGCAGCCGCGGUAAUACGGAGGAUCCGAGCGUUAUCCGGAUUUAUUGGGUUUAAAGGGUGCGUGGAUGGUUUGAUAAGUCAGCGGUGAAAGUUUGCAGCUUAACUGUAAAAAUGCCGUUGAAACUGUCGGACUUGAGUGUAAAUGAGGUAGGCGGAAUGCGUGGUGUAGCGGUGAAAUGCAUAGAUAUCACGAAGAACUCCGAUUG